rnacentral:rRNA from 1 species
UUCAGGCCUAACACAUGCAAGUCGAGCGGUAACAGAGAGAAAGCUUGCUUUCUUUGCUGACGAGCGGCGGACGGGUGAGUAAUGGUUGGGAACUUGGCCUAGUGAGGGGGAUAACAGUUGGAAACGGCUGCUAAUACCGCAUAAUCUAUACGUAGCAAAGAAGGGGAUCUUCGGACCUUUCGCACUAGGAUAGGCCCAAUUGGGAUUAGCUAGUUGGUGGGGUAAAAGCCUACCAAGGCGACGAUCCGUAGCUGGUCUGAGAGGAUGAUCAGCCACACUGGAACUGAGACACGGUCCAGACUCCUACGGGAGGCAGCAGUGGGGAAUAUUGCGCAAUGGGGGCAACCCUGACGCAGCCAUGCCGCGUGUGUGAAGAAGGCCUUAGGGUUGUAAAGCACUUUCAAUUGGGAAGAAAAGUUCGUCGUUAAUAGCGGCGAGCCCUGACAUUACCUUUAGAAGAAGCACCGGCUAACUCCGUGCCAGCAGCCGCGGUAAUACGGAGGGUGCGAGCGUUAAUCGGAAUUACUGGGCGUAAAGCGCGCGUAGGCGGUUUGUUAAGUCGGAUGUGAAAUCCCCGGGCUCAACCUGGGAACUGCAUCCGAUACUGGCCGACUAGAGUACGAGAGAGGGAGGUAGAAUUCCACGUGUAG